UACAUGUGGCAAAACACCAGCACACAUAAAAAAUAAAUCCUUUAAAAAAUUAAAAAGAAAGAAAGAAAAAUAUGGUCUUUUUGAGCUUCAUGAAUGAGCUUCUUGAUUCUACCAACAAAAGUGGUGUUAUUAGUGUCCUAAAUUACAUACUGCCAUAUUUCUCAGAGGGGAAUCUGGAAGGUUUCAUUUUAAUGUUGUCACCAUUCAUUAUACUACUUUUUUUUCUAAUGUACAAGACUGUAAGUAAUACCCUGGGAUCUUUGCAAAAUGAUACAGUCUUCCUCUAAUCUACAUCUAAUAAGAGAAUUUGUUAGAUGCAGAAAUUGAUGAGGUUAACAAGAAAGAAAAAACUACCAUGGUUAUGCAGCAGUCUAGCUGUUUAGGUCCCAAAUUUAAAUGACAGAUAUUGAAAAGAGAUGGGAACCUGCCCGUGCAGAGGAAGACAGUCUUGCAGAGAUUGAGAAGGCAGAGAAAGGACUCCUCCACAGGAUGGACACAGUGCUCAAGGGGACAGGAAGCAUACAGAAAAGGCACUUCAAGGAAGUGAGUGACAAGAGCCUGUGGAGUAAGCAGAGUGUCCGGACACCUGUGGAGAACAUCGCCAAAGAUGGGCAGCUCAGGGGCCCACCCACCACAGAGCUGCAGCAGUUCAGUCUGGUGCAGAAGCCCAGGAAGUUAGUGGGAAAUUCCUUCCACUCAGAGCCAGUGCUUCCAACAGAACCCGGGGAGGCAGUGUCUUCUUCCCCAGAACCGUCCCUGGUGGACAAAGCUCCCACUACAAAUUCGCUACCUGAGUUCAUAGAUAGAUGAAAAGACUUGUCUUACACCAUUUUUGUUUUAGAAAGGGCAAAUGCCAAUGUGAAAAGAGUGAUGGGGUCUAACCCUAGUUUACAGUCUGAAAAGAGACAUGGAAACCUUGGGAAGAAAAUCUCAUUUCCAGUUGAUUGCAAAGAGGCCAGCAUCCUCUGCAGUGAAGAGCCUGGUAAAUCCCCCCUGCACGAGGAGUCUCUUCAUCUACAGGAGACAUGACUUAUGCAGAAAAGCCUUUUUCAGAAUCAUAUGCUGCUUCAGAACCUCAUACUGAAAAACCUCUUGAAGAAAACCAGGAUGCAACAGAUAAUAGUGAAGAAAACAUCCUCAAACCAACCAUCAGAGAAUAUAUCCUCUGAGAAUCUUGCUGUAGAGUCUAAUGUGCCUCCAUCCGAUUUAAUUCCAUCUGAUCAGCAAACCAGAGAGCCACAGUUAGACUUGGGGUCUGGCUCACAUGACAAUUUCAAGGAAUUUGCUUACCCAUUGCUGAUGGCACCGGGUGAACACUUUGAAUCUCAGCUAAACCAGCAGCUGCGGCCCCUUAUCCCCAACAACAACGUGAGAAGGCUUAUUUCUCGCGUUAUAAGAACUUUGAAGAUGGACUGCUCUGACACCCGAGUGCAACUGUCCUGUGCUAAGCUCAUCUCCAGAACAGGCCUCCUGAUGAAGCUUCUCAGUGAGCAACAAGAAUUCAAGUUGUCCAGGACAGACUGGGAUACAGACCAGUGGAAAACUGAGAACUACAUCAAUGAGAGCACAGAAGCCCAAGGUGAACAGAAGGGUCUGGAACCAAGUCAGGUAGGAGUUUUGUGACUCAGGUGACCGCUGUGGCUUGGAGAUUUGUACAGACCCCUGCAUGGAAACACAGGAAAAAUGUGGCUCAGAAUCUAUGAGGCAAGGGGUCCUCGGGGGGAGGAGGAGAUUUUCCAUAAGGAUGAACCAGGGACAAUGGCUGGGGUGAUUAAACAUUCCUAGCUCAAAUGAGGAGCUCAGGACAAGUGUGUCUGGUCCACUCAAGGUUAAAAGCUUUGGCAUAACACAGGAAGACCUGGCAGAGACUCCCCAGAGUGGCAGCCCCUCAGUGUGAAGAGGAGAGGGGGAGCUCCCGAGGAAGGGGCUGACUUGACAGAGUCACCCUAUCCUGUAAGUUUUUAUUCCUCUGUCACAUGAAAAAUACUAAUGAAUUAUUUUUAAUAGA